rnacentral:rRNA from 1 species
UACGGAGGGUGCAAGCGUUGUCCGGAUUUAUUGGGUUUAAAGGGGGCGUAGGCGGUUAAUUAAGUCAGUGGUGAAAUCCUGGAGCUCAACUUCAGAACUGCCAUUGAUACUGGUUGACUUGAGUACAGACGAGGUUGGCGGAAUUGAUGGUGUAGCGGUGAAAUGCAUAGAUACCAUCAAGAACACCAAUGGCGAAGGCAGCUUGCUGGGACGGUACUGACGCUGAGGCGCGAAAGCGUGGGGAGCAAACAGG